rnacentral:rRNA from 1 species
UACGUAGGGUGCAAGCGUUGUCCGGAAUUAUUGGGCGUAAAGAGCUUGUAGGCGGUUUGUCGCGUCUGCUGUGAAAUUUCGGGGCUCAACCCCGAACUUGCAGUUGGUACGGGCAGACUAGAGUGUGGUAGGGGAGACUGGAAUUCCUGGUGUAGCGGUGAAAUGCGCAGAUAUCAGGAGGAACACCGAUGGCGAAGGCAGGUCUCUGGGCCACUACUGACGCUGAGAAGCGAAAGCAUGGGGAGCGAACAGG